AACGAACGCUGGCGGCAGGCCUAACACAUGCAAGUCGAACGCUGUAGCAAUACAGAGUGGCAGACGGGUGAGUAACGCGUUGGAAUCUUCCUAUCGGUACGGAAUAGCUCAGGGAAACUUGGGGUAAUACCGCAUACGCCCUUCGGGGGAAAGAUUUAUCGCCGAUAGAUGAGCCUGCGUCUGAUUAGCUAGUUGGUGAGGUAAUGGCUCACCAAGGCGACGAUCAGUAGCUGGUCUGAGAGGAUGACCAGCCACACUGGGACUGAGACACGGCCCAGACUCCUACGGGAGGCAGCAGUGGGGAAUAUUGGACAAUGGGCGCAAGCCUGAUCCAGCCAUGCCGCGUGAGUGACGAAGGUCUUCGGAUUGUAAAGCUCUUUUGCCAGGGACGAUAAUGACGGUACCUGGAGAAUAAGCCCCGGCUAACUUCGUGCCAGCCGCCGCAGUAACAC
rnacentral:rRNA from 1 species